UGGGGAAUAUUGCACAAUGGGGGAAACCCUGAUGCAGCGACGCCGCGUGAGCGAAGAAGGCUUUCGAGUCGUAAAGCUCUGUCCUAUGAGAAGAUAAUGACGGUAUCAUAGGAGGAAGCCCUGGCUAAAUACGUGCCAGCAGCCGCGGUAAUACGUAUGUCACGAGCGUUAUCCGGAUUUAUUGGGCGUAAAGCGCGUCUAGGUGGUUAUAUAAGUCUGAUGUGAAAAUGCAGGGCUCAACUCUGUAUUGCGUUGGAAACUGUAUAACUAGAGUACUGGAGAGGUAAGCGGAACUACAAGUGUAGAGGUGAAAUUCGUAGAUAUUUGUAGGAAUGCCGAUGGGGAAGCCAGCUUACUGGACAGAUACUGACGCUGAAGCGCGAAAGCGUGGGUAGCAAACAGG
rnacentral:rRNA from 1 species